rnacentral:lncRNA from 1 species
ACGAAGUCUGAAAGAAGUUUGGAGUAGAGUCGUCCAUGGCCGGAAGAAGUUUGGAAGGGAUUCAUAGAAUAGUCGAUCACUAUAGAAAAUUGGCUUACAGUGAAGCCCAGAGAGCAUUUGGAGCAGUCCGAUAGAUGAAUGGAGAAGCUCAUUAUCGGAGAAGUCCGGACGGUAUUAUGGAAGUUCGUACACCGAGGAAGUUCAGAAAGAUGCCACACA